UAGCUCAGUUGGUAGAGUGCUUGCCUCACAUGCAAAAGGCCCUGAGUUCAAUCCCCAG
rnacentral:tRNA from 1 species